UCCGGUUUGACACCGGCAGUCUCGUUAGAGUCCCCGGCAUGACCCGCUGGCAACUAACGACAAGGGUUUCGCUCGUUCAGGGACUUAACCCGACAUCUCACGGCACGAGCUGACGACAGCCAUGCACCACCUGUGCGGGCUCCGAGGAGCACCGUGUUUCUACGGUUUCACCCCGCAUGUCAAGCCCAGGUAAGGUUCUUCGCGUUGCUUCGAAUUAAGCCACAUGCUCCGCCGCUUGUGCGGGCCCCCGUCAAUUCCUUUGAGUUUCGGUCUUGCGACCGUACUCCCCAGGCGGAGUGUUUCACGCGUUAGCUGGACCCCUGAUCCACGUAGACCAAGGGCGAACACUCAUCGUUUACGGCAUGGACUAC
rnacentral:misc_RNA from 1 species